CCUACGGGAGGCAGCAGUGGGGGAUAUUGCACAAUGGGGGAAACCCUGAUGCAGCGACGCCGCGUGAGCGAAGAAGUAUUUCGGUAUGUAAAGCUCUAUCAGCAGGGAAGAAAAUGACAGUACCUGACCAAGAAGCCCCGGCCAACUACGUGCCAGCAGCCGCGGUAAUACGGAGGGGGCAAGCGUUAACCGGGUAUACUGGGUGUAAAGGGAGCGUAGACGGUUAUGUAAGUCUGGGGUGAAAGCCCGGGGCCCAACCCCGGGACUGCUUUGGACACUGUGUAACUGGAGUACGAGAGAGGCAAGCGGAAUUCCAGGUGUAGCGGUGAAAUGCGUAGAUAUCAGGAGGAACACCAGCGGCGAAGGCGGCCUGCUGGACUGAAACUGACGUUGAGGCUCGAAAGCGUGGGGAGCAAACAGGAUUAGAUACCCUAGUAGUC
rnacentral:rRNA from 1 species